rnacentral:rRNA from 1 species
GCAGUCGCCGCGGUAAUACGUAGGUGGCAAGCGUUGUCCGGAAUUAUUGGGCGUAAAGGGCUCGCAGGCGGUUUCUUAAGUCUGAUGUGAAAGCCCCCGGCUCAACCGGGGAGGGUCAUUGGAAACUGGGAAACUUGAGUGCGGAAGAGGAGAGUGGAAUUCCACGUGUAGCGGUGAAAUGCGUAGAGAUGUGGAGGAACACCAGUGGCGAAGGCGACUCUCUGGUCUGUAACUGACGCUGAGGAGCGAAAGCGUGGGGAGCGAACAGGAUUAGAUACCCCAGUAGUCCCUGUCUCUUAUAC